UAGGGAAUUUUGCGCAAUGGGGGAAACCCUGACGCAGCAACGCCGCGUGACCGAUGAAGCUUUUAGGAGCGUAAAGGUCUGUCGUAAGGGAAGAAAAGUUUAGAUGUGAAUAAUAUUUGAACCUGACGGUACCUUACAAGAAAGCACCGGCUAACUUCGUGCCAGCAGCCGCGGUAAUACGAGGGGUGCAAGCGUUGUCCGGAAUCACUGGGCGUAAAGGGUCCGUAGGCUUCUCAGCAAGUCAUUUGUUAAAUCCAUCGGCUUAACCGAUGAGGUGCAUUUGAAACUGCUGAGAUCGAGUAUAAGAGAGGAAAGCGGAAUUCCUGGUGUAGCGGUGACAUGCGUAGAUAUCAGGAGGAACACCAAUGGCGAAGGCAGCUUUCUGGCUUAUUACUGACGCUGAGGGACGAAAGCGUGGGGAGCGAACAGG
rnacentral:rRNA from 1 species